AGUGAACGCUGGCGGCGUGCCUAAUACAUGCAAGUCGAACGGAGUGGCGCACGGGUGAGUAAUGUAUAGCUAAUCUGCCCUACACUAGAGGACAACAGUUGGAAACGACUGCUAAUACUCUAUAGUGUAGGUUGAGGUUAUAUUGUAUCAGCUAGUUGGUGAGGUAGUGGCUCACCAAGGCUAUGACGCAUAACUGGUCUGAGAGGACGAUCAGUCACACUGGACCGGAGACACGGUGCGGGAUCAUACGGGAGGAAGCAGGAGGGAAUAUUGCUCAAUGGGGGAAGCCCUAAAACAGCAUCGCCGCGUAGAGGAUGACACUUUUCGAAGCGUAAACUCCUUUUGUUAGGGAAGCGGUACCUAACGAAUAAGCACCGGCUAACUCCGUGCCAGCAGCCGCGGUAAUUA
rnacentral:rRNA from 1 species